ensembl:lncRNA
AGAAGAGAGAACAGAAUGACCCCCCAGUCUGUAAAAGUUUAUUAUAAAGAGGAGCUGAUCAGUUAUCCUGAGUCCAAAAGAAGGUCCAGAAGAAAUCAGCUAGCUUCACACAAAUAAGAUCUGAAUUAUACAUGAGUGAGAAAAGUCCAGUUGUAAGAGAUAUAAACGGAUUAGAGAAAGAUAAUGAGAUGCAAACCAAAUUUCAAUUAAUGAAAAUUUUUAAGGACAGUUCAGGUUUAGGUGUUGUGGUUUAGGAAUAACUGAUCCUAGUUAAUUAAGGGUAUGAAUGAGGUGACCUCUUGAGAUCCUUUCCAGUAUUGUUGUUUCAGAAGGGCAGAUUCCAUCCUCUUUUCUGUGAAAAGGAGCAGAGUGUUGGCUAAGGGGUUGUCCUACCUAUAGUGUUGAGAUAGCAAGCAAGGAUGGUAUUUUAAACUUAACACUAAUUAUCUUUUGCUAUGUGUGCUCCAGACAUACUGUUCCAUGUCCUGGAUCCACAGAGGUUGGCAAGAACUUUAUACCAGAACAAAGACAAUAAGAAUGAAGAACUGAUGCUGGAGAUGUUUGGGAGAAAUGUCAUGACCUUGAUUCAACAGCCAAGCUGCAAAAGCAACUUCACCCCACUACCAUCAAGAACUGCAUGUCUCAGCGUUUUGAAAGAUCAACAUUACUAGAGGUGACUGUAUGACGCAUUAAGACACUGAAUGGAUUAUCUACUCCAAAUUAGGUUCUAGCAAG